rnacentral:rRNA from 1 species
GGCUUAGAGUUUGAUCAUGGCUCAGGAUGAACGCUGGCGGCAUGCCUAAGACAUGCAAGUCGAACGAAGUGGCCCAUUGAAGAUUGCGUGCUUGCACAAGAUUGGAUUUGGAUUCCCACUUAGUGGCAGACGGGUGAGUAACACGUGGGUAACCUACCCCUUAGUCUGGGACAACUAUUGGAAACGAUAGCUAAUACCGGAUGAUUCAUUGGAGGAUAACCUCCGAUGCUAAAAGGAGCUUCGGCUUCGCUUUGGGAUGGGCUUGCGGUGUAUUAGCUUGUUGGUGAGGUAAUGGCUCACCAAGGCUACGAUGCAUAUCCGGGCUGAGAGGCUGAUCGGACACAUUGGAACUGAGAUACGGUCCAAACUCCUACGGGAGGCAGCAGUUAGGAAUAUUCGUCAAUGGGGGAAACCCUGAACGAGCAAUGCCGCGUGAGUGAUGAAGGUCUAUUAGAUUGUAAAGCUCUGUUGCGAGGGAAGAAUAGCUUUCAUAGGUAAUGAUGAAAGUGUGACGGUACCUCGUCAGAAAGCCCCGGCUAACUACGUGCCAGCAGCCGCGGUAAUACGUAGGGGGCGAGCGUUAUCCGGAUUUAUUGGGCGUAAAGCGUUCGUAGGCGGUUUGUUAAGUCUAAAAUCAAAUCUUGGGGCUUAACUCCAUUCAGUUUUAGAAACUGGCAGACUUGAGUGUGGUAGAGGCAAGUGGAAUUUCUAGUGUAGCGGUUAAAUGCGUAGAUAUUAGAAAGGAACACCAGUGGCGAAGGCGGCUUGCUGGGCCAUUACUGACGCUGAGAACGAGAGCGUGGGGAGCAAAUAGAUUAGAUACCCUAGUAGUCCACGCCGUAAACGAUGAGUACUAAGUGUCGGGNUAC